rnacentral:rRNA from 1 species
AGAACGAACGCUGGCGGCAUGCCUAACACAUGCAAGUCGAACGAGACCUUCGGGUCUAGUGGCGCACGGGUGCGUAACGCGUGGGAAUCUGCCCUUGGGUUCGGGAUAACAGUUGGAAACGACUGCUAAUACCGGAUGAUGACUUCGGUCCAAAGAUUUAUCGCCCAGGGAUGAGCCCGCGUAGGAUUAGCUAGUUGGUGAGGUAAAGGCUCACCAAGGCGACGAUCCUUAGCUGGUCUGAGAGGAUGAUCAGCCACACUGGGACUGAGACACGGCCCAGACUCCUACGGGAGGCAGCAGGUGGGGAAUAUUGGACAGUGGGCGAAAGCCUAGAUCCAGCAA